CCAUGCUAGAUAUAAACAUAAAAGACCAUUUGAUACAAAAGCUUAGUGAAAAGCCUAGUAUGCAUUUUAUCAACACCAUAAUUCAUAAUGAAAAUGUUACAUAACAGAGAAGAAUUAUGAACUAUAUUUCUCCGUCUUCUGUUGAGAUGUAGUCCUGUGCAUUUGGUGAGAUUAACAGAGAAAUAAUUAGUAUCACAAGGAAUUGUCUUGCCUGUGUUGAGAGGUGCAUAAUUUAUGGCCACUGGUGUUAGUUGUGCAGUGGAUUUGGCCCGCUUGGUACCAGUCUUUUCUCGACACCGUAUCUCGGGUCAAUCUCAGUAUCUUGCUCGUAAGGUGGUUGUGACGGUGGUAGCGGAGGUGGAGGCGGAGGUGGUUUGUGGUUCCAUGUAUUUCGUAAUCUAACAUGUGGUGGACUUUGAGGAGAAGAGAGGGCCGCUGCCGCUGCCGCCACGAGGCAAAUUAAAAUGCCUAGAGAAAUCCUGUGACCAGCAGUCGUGGCGGCGGAAGUAGGUGGGCGCUUCAUGCUGCCGGGCUUGUAAUAGGGAGAGGACAAUGCAGAAGUGUCCUUGUAGUGUGUAAAAUGGAGAAGAGGAUGGCAAAUAGAAAGUUGUAAAUAGUAGUUAAAAUUCAAGCAAGUGUUCCAUGAACAAUGUACUUAGCUCCAUAAAUGCUGUAAUCAAUGAGGGGUUGUUUUCUGGUGCCAG
rnacentral:lncRNA from 1 species